AUACAUGCAAGUCGAACGCUUUGUGCUUAAUUGAUAUGAUGAGCUUGCUCUGAUUUGAUUUUUUGAUUUCAAAGAGUGGCGAACGGGUGAGUAACACGUGGGUAACCUACCUCUUAGCAGGGGAUAACAUUUGGAAACAAGUGCUAAUACCGUAUAAUAUCAACAACCGCAUGGUUGUUGAUUGAAAGAUGGUUCUGCUAUCACUAAGAGAUGGACCCGCGGUGCAUUAGCUAGUUGGUAAGGUAAUGGCUUACCAAGGCAAUGAUGCAUAGCCGAGUUGAGAGACUGAUCGGCCACAAUGGGACUGAGACACGGCCCAUACUCCUACGGGAGGCAGCAGUAGGGAAUCUUCCACAAUGGGCGCAAGCCUGAUGGAGCAACGCCGCGUGUGUGAUGAAGGGUUUCGGCUCGUAAAACACUGUUAUAAGAGAAGAACGGCACUGAGAGUAACUGUUCAGUGUGUGACGGUAUCUUACCAGAAAGGAACGGCUAAAUACGUGCCAGCAGCCGCGGUAAUACGUAUGUUCCAAGCGUUAUCCGGAUUUAUUGGGCGUAAAGCGAGCGCAGACGGUUAUUUAAGUCUGAAGUGAAAGCCCUCAGCUCAACUGAGGAAUUGCUUUGGAAACUGGAUGACUUGAGUGCAGUAGAGGAAAGUGGAACUCCAUGUGUAGCGGUGAAAUGCGUAGAUAUAUGGAAGAACACCAGUGGCGAAGGCGGCUUUCUGGACUGUAACUGACGUUGAGGCUCGAAAGUGUGGGUAGCAAACAGGAUUAGAUAC
rnacentral:rRNA from 1 species